rnacentral:rRNA from 1 species
GACGAACGCUGGCGGCGUGCUUAACACAUGCAAGUCGAACGGAAAGGCCCUGCUUUUGUGGGGUGCUCGAGUGGCGAACGGGUGAGUAACACGUGAGUAACCUGCCCUUGACUUUGGGAUAACUUCAGGAAACUGGGGCUAAUACCGGAUAGGAGCUCCUGCUGCAUGGUGGGGGUUGGAAAGUUUCGGCGGUUGGGGAUGGACUCGCGGCUUAUCAGCUUGUUGGUGGGGUAGUGGCUUACCAAGGCUUUGACGGGUAGCCGGCCUGAGAGGGUGACCGGCCACAAUGGGACUGAGAUACGGCCCAGACUCCUACGGGAGGCAGCAGUGGGGAAUAUUGCACAAUGGGCGGGAGCCUGAUGCAGCAACGCCGCGUGCGGGAUGACGGCCUUCGGGUUGUAAACCGCAUUCGCCUGUGACGAAGCGUGAGUGACGGUAAUGGGUAAAGAAGCACCGGCUAACUACGUG